GAAUAUUGGACAAUGGGCGAGAGCCUGAUCCAGCCAUGCCGCGUGCAGGAAGACGGCCCUAUGGGUUGUAAACUGCUUUUGUACGGGAAGAAACACCCCCUCGUGAGGGGGCCUGACGGUACCGUAAGAAUAAGGAUCGGCUAACUCCGUGCCAGCAGCCGCGGUAAUACGGAGGAUCCAAGCGUUAUCCGGAAUCAUUGGGUUUAAAGGGUCCGUAGGUGGGCCGUUAAGUCAGAGGUGAAAUCCUGCAGCUCAACUGUAGAAUUGCCUUUGAUACUGGCGGCCUUGAAUCACUGUGAAGUGGUUGGAAUAUGUAGUGUAGCGGUGAAAUGCAUAGAUAUUACAUAGAACACCGAUUGCGAAGGCAGAUCACUAACAGUGUAUUGACACUGAUGGACGAAAGCGUGGGGAGCGAACAGG
rnacentral:rRNA from 1 species